CCGCCCCUUACGCGCAGCGACCAAGGCGUGAAGGGAGUUGCAGUCCAGGGAGGGAGGCCCCACCCUUAAAGAGACAAAUAACAGACACUGGAUAUUUCAUCACAUCCCUCCUGGCUGCUGUAGGAAAAGGGACGCUGGACUAUAUGGUCUACUCUGGUCAGGUAGUUCUGAAGUAACAUACUACUGCUUGAAGCAUUGCAGCGCUACAAAGGCAAAGUAGUUGUGGUUGUGUGAACAGAAAAUGGUCAGAUGGCAGAUGAAGAUGACAACAAAGCCACAUACACAACAGGCAACAGCUGUUUAUCUCUCUUCAUUCACUGUCCCAGACUUCUUGGGAUCCUCCUGAUUAGCCUCCCUGGUCCUUUUCUCGACAGGAACCCACAUUUAUGCAAUUAAGUGUCUCAUUAAUUUUCCAGACACCUGCAGUUAUUUACUCCAGGCACCACUAGACCUUGAGUUUUUUAUGGCCCCCCUGGGAAACAUCCCUCUCUCUGCUUUGGCAUCAAGACUCAGAAAGGAUGAUCUGUAUGUAUGCUGUAACAUCCCUGACCAAUAACAUAUUCCCUGGAAGAUGGAGCAAUCUUGUUUUCUGCUCCUCUGGAGGGGAGGACCUGUACCCAUGGAUUCAAAUGAUAAAAAAUGGAGAUUCCGAGUAAACAUUAGGAAGAACUUUUCUGAUGGUAAGAUUUCUUCUGGUGGGAAGAGCUGUUCAACCUUGUAAUGGACUACCUUGGAAGGUGGUGCACUCCUCUUCACAGGUUUUAAGCAGAGGUUGGAUUGGCAUCUGCCAGAGAUUCUCUGGCUGCGAUUCCUGCAUUGCAGGGGGUCGGACUAGAUGAUUCUCUGGGAAUCCCAUCCAAUGCUACAGUUCUAUGAGUUUAUGAAUUCAUCCUUCCCAAAACAAGUCACGAACCAAAAUAUAGCCGUCCUUCAAAAAUUUACACUUCCCCAUGUUUUGCAAUGCAAUUCUCUGGCUAUGUCAUGUGCCCGCCCUCCCCAGGUGCAUAUAUAUAUAUCUAUCAAAAUCCACACAGUGAAAAUAACAUAUGCAAAUAUUAAGGUAAAUUACUUGCAAAAAAUUGCACAUUAGGUGUAUGCAUGAACAGGCAGCUGAUUUUUUGCGAAGAUGUUUUUUAAUGCAAGUUGAUGUGGAAAUGUGCAAACUGGAAAAAUUAGGGAGAAGAACUGAAAUUGAAAGGGCUAUCCAUCUACAGAGUAGCAUAAGGAAGACAUUUACCUGGUCAGAGGAAUUUCUCGUACAUUUUUUUUAAAAUAGAUAAAUAUCUACAUAGAAUAAUAGAAUUGCAGAGUAAUGGCAAGCCAGGUGUCCCCCUAUCUUAGUUUUGUCUGGCUGGUUCUUCCUGUCUAAGGGCAGAACCUGACAUUUGUCCCUAUUAAAAUUCAUUUUGCUAGUUUGGGCCCAGUUC